AUGAGUUGCCCAGAGUCUAUGCAGGAGGCAAUGGAGGUGAUGUUCAAGACAGAGGUGGAGGCUGGAGCCAGUGGCUACAGCGUCACAGGUGGUGGAGACCAGGGGAUCUUCGUCCAGCAAGUGCUGAAGGACUCCUCAGCAGCCAAGCUCUUCAGCCUGAGAGAAGGUGACCAGCUGCUCAGUGCCACCAUAUUCUUUGAUGACAUUAAAUACGAGGAUGCGCUCAAGAUCCUGCAGUACUCAGAGCCAUACAAGGUGCAGUUCCAGAUCAAACGGCAGCUCUGUGCCACUGAGGGCCAGCAGGAUGAAGAGGCUGUGGUCCGGGGUACAGAGACGCCCACGAAGGCCCCGGGGCAGGGUGGAGACCAGGAAAAGCUCACUGCCAAGCCCAGGGGGGCCCGAGGCAGGAAGCCCCGGGAGCGGCUCUCCUGGCCUAGGCUCCAAGGCCUGAGGGGCACGCAGGGGGCGGGGCCCCGGCGCGCACACAGCUCCUCGGAGGCCCACGAGCGUGGGGGCGGACAGGAAGUGUCCCCCACCAGCACGGACCCGGAGUUCCAGCUCCCAGUGGAGCAUGGAGAGCAGACGGCAUGGACAGCCGGUCAGAAGAGGAGGAGGAGGUUUCUCAACCUGAGGCUCAAGGUGGGCUCCAGGCUGGACCCAUCAGUCACAGGACAUCCAGACAGAGAGGCACUCGGGGGACUGGACACGGCCAGGGUGCUGGAAGAGAAGCCGGAGGAUACAGAGGCUGCUCCAAGUGGCAGGAGCCAGGAGAGGGCACGGGUGAGAGAGGCCAGGCAGGCGCUGACCACGCAGGAGACCAUGGAGCUCAGCUUCCCUGGACAAGGAGGAGAAGACACAGCCAGGCAACAAAGGAAGAUGAAGCAGGUGAAGGCCAGGGAGGAGGCAACCACCCAGAGGGAAACCAGAGCCUCACCAGCCCUGGUGGGGAGCAAGGACGAAGAAUGGGAGGAGCUGCAAAGCCUUGAAAAUGGGACCACGACCAUGUCCCCCCAAGAUGCAACAGUCACAGAAGGGCCACAGAGACGACCCCAAGAAAUCCAGGUGCAAAUAGGUGAACUAAAGACACCCAAAUUUACAUUUUCCAUGGAAAAAGUGCAGGAGAUUGGAGAUGAGAUAGGCAGAGGGCUGCAGCAGAGCAGGCCAAUGACAUUCCGAGCCCAAUGGGGACACGAGGCUGAGAGAGAAAAUAAAACCGAUACAGUGGGGAACACUAGGCCAGCACCAGAAGGGACAGGACCAGGAAAAGACCAACAGGAUGAGGUGUCCAAGCCGAGGGGAAAACAGGAAGGCCAGGGAGAAGAGAUAGAGAAGGAAAGGGGGGAAGAAAAGUGGAAAUUAUCCAUGUUAAAAAUCCCGGAAUUUGGGAGGUCAGCAAAACACGAAGUAAAAACACAGAGAGCAAAACACACGAUAGGAAAACGAAAAGAAAGGAAAACAUGGAAAGACAAAGAGGAGACAAUAGAGGGCCAAAGGUUAGACCACAAGGACCCCCAGGUGGACAUCGAAAGUUCCAGACUACAGGUGAAAGACGCGAAGGUCGAGAUCAGGGAACCCGAGGUUGAACUGUCGCUGUCUAGCGCGGAGGUGGACAUCCAGGCUCCUGGUGGCAACCUGCAGGGUGAGGUGGCAGCCAAAGACAGUAAGUUCAAGAUGCCCUCCUUCGCCAUGUCAGCUCCCAGCAAGUCCAUGGAGGCCUCUCUCCAGGUGUGCAGGCCAAAGGCAGAGGCUGACGUAGACAGACCCGCGAUCCAGGGUGACCUGAAGACCCCGAAGGUCAGCAUGCAGCUGCCCUCUGCUGACCUGGACCUGCAGGCCGGCCAGGUGGGGGUGAAGCUCGCCCAGGGCACGCUGACCGAGGCAGAGCUCCCCGCCGUGGGUACAGGCCUGAAAGGUCACCUACCCAAGGUGCAGAUGCCCAGCAUCAAGGUGCCCAAAGUGGAACUAAAGGGCCCCCAGGUGGACAUCAAGGGCCUCAGAGUGCAGGACAAAGUUGCCACAGGUGAGAUUGGAGCCCCUGAGCUGGAAGUGUCGCUCCCCAGCGUGGAGGUGGACGUCCAGGCUCCUGGUGGCAAGCUGCAGGGCGAGGUGGUGGGCAAAGACAGCAAGUUCAAGAUGCCCAAGUUCAAGAUGCCCUCCUUCGGCGUGACGGCACCCGGCAAGUCCAUGGAGGCCUCUCUCGAGGUGUCCAUGCCAAAGUUGGAGGCUGAUGUGGACAAAGCCGAGAUGCAGGGUGAUCUCAAGACCCCGAAAGUCAAAGUUCAGCUGCCAUCCGCUGACGUGGACCUGCAGGCCGGCCAAGUGGGGGUGAAGCUCGCCCAGGGCACGCUGACCGAGGCAGAGCUCCCCGCCGUGGGUACAGGCCUGAAAGGUCACCUACCCAAGGUGCAGAUGCCCAGCAUCAAGGUGCCCAAAGUGGAACUAAAGGGCCCCCAGGUGGACAUCAAGGGCCCCCAAAUGGAGGACAAAGUUGCCACAGGUGAGAUUGGAGCCCCUGAGCUGGAAGUGUCACACCCCAGCGUGGAGGUGGACGUCCAGGCUCCUGGUGGCAAGCUGCAGGGCGAGGUGGUGGGCAAAGACAGCAAGUUCAAGAUGCCCAAGUUCAAGAUGCCCUCCUUCGGUGUGUCGGCUCCUGGCAAGUCCAUGGAGGCCUCUCCCGAGGUGUCCAUGCCAAAGUUGGAGGCUGAUGUGGACAAACCUGAGAUGCAGGGUGAUCUCAAGACCUCGAAAGUCAACAUUCAGCUGCCAUCCGCUGACGUGGACCUGCAGGCCGGCCAAGUGGGGGUGAAGCUUGCCCAGGGCACACUGUCAGAGGCAGAGCUGCCCACCACGGGUGCAGACCUGAAAGGUCACCUGCCCAAGGUGCAGAUGCCCAGCAUCAAGGUGCCCAAAGUGGAACUAAAGGGCCCCCAGGUGGACAUCAAGGGCCCCCAAAUGGAGGACAAAGUUGCCACAGGUGAGAUUGGAGCCCCUGAGCUGGAAGUGUCGCUCCCCAGAGUGGAGGUGGACGUCCAGGCUCCUGGUGGCAAGCUGCAGGGCGAGGUGGUGGGCAAAGACAGCAAGUUCAAGAUGCCCAAAUUCAAGAUGCCCUCCUUCAGUGUGUCUGCUCCAGGCAAGUCCACGGAGGCCUCUUUCGAGGUGUCUGUGCCAAAGAUGCAGGCUGACGUGGACCUACCCGCCAUCCAGGGCGACCUGAAGACUCCUGAGGUCGGCGUUCAGCUGCCUUCUGCUGACCUGGACCUGCAUGCCGGCCAGGUGGGCAUGAAGGUUGUACAGGGCUCUCUGCCCGAGGCAGAGCUAAUAGCCUCGGGUGCAGACCUGAAAGGACACCUGCCAAAGGUGCAGAUGCCCAGCAUCAAGAUGCCCAAAGUCGACCUGAAGGGGCCCCAGGUGGACAUCAAGGGCCUCAGAGUGCAGGACAAAGUUGCCACAGGUGAGAUUGGAGCCCCUGAGCUGGAAGUGUCACACCCCAGCGUGGAGGUGGACGUCCAGGCUCCUGGUGGCAAGCUGCAGGGCGAGGUGGUGGGCAAAGACAGCAAGUUCAAGAUGCCCAAAUUCAAGAUGCCCUCCUUCAGUGUGUCUGCUCCAGGCAAGUCCACGGAGGCCUCUUUCGAGGUGUCUGUGCCAAAGAUGCAGGCUGACGUGGACCUACCCGCCAUCCAGGGCGACCUGAAGACUCCUGAGGUCGGCGUUCAGCUGCCUUCUGCUGACCUGGACCUGCAUGCCGGCCAGGUGGGCAUGAAGGUUGUACAGGGCUCUCUGCCCGAGGCAGAGCUAAUAGCCUCGGGUGCAGACCUGAAAGGACACCUGCCAAAGGUGCAGAUGCCCAGCAUCAAGAUGCCCAAAGUCGACCUGAAGGGGCCCCAGGUGGACAUCAAGGGCCCCCAAAUGGAGGACAAAGUUGCCACAGGUGAGAUUGGAGCCCCUGAGCUGGAAGUGUCACACCCCAGCGUGGAGGUGGACGUCCAGGCUCCUGGUGGCAAGCUGCAGGGCGAGGUGGUGGGCAAAGACAGCAAGUUCAAGAUGCCCAAAUUCAAGAUGCCCUCCUUCAGUGUGUCUGCUCCAGGCAAGUCCACGGAGGCCUCUUUCGAGGUGUCUGUGCCAAAGAUGCAGGCUGACGUGGACCUACCCGCCAUCCAGGGCGACCUGAAGACUCCUGAGGUCGGCGUUCAGCUGCCUUCUGCUGACCUGGACCUGCAUGCCGGCCAGGUGGGCAUGAAGGUUGUACAGGGCUCUCUGCCCGAGGCAGAGCUAAUAGCCUCGGGUGCAGACCUGAAAGGACACCUGCCAAAGGUGCAGAUGCCCAGCAUCAAGAUGCCCAAAGUCGACCUGAAGGGGCCCCAGGUGGACAUCAAGGGCCCCCAAAUGGAGGACAAAGUUGCCACAGGUGAGAUUGGAGCCCCUGAGCUGGAAGUGUCACACCCCAGCGUGGAGGUGGACGUCCAGGCUCCUGGUGGCAAGCUGCAGGGCGAGGUGGUGGGCAAAGACAGCAAGUUCAAGAUGCCCAAAUUCAAGAUGCCCUCCUUCAGUGUGUCUGCUCCAGGCAAGUCCACGGAGGCCUCUUUCGAGGUGUCUGUGCCAAAGAUGCAGGCUGACGUGGACCUACCCGCCAUCCAGGGCGACCUGAAGACUCCUGAGGUCGGCGUUCAGCUGCCUUCUGCUGACCUGGACCUGCAUGCCGGCCAGGUGGGCAUGAAGGUUGUACAGGGCUCUCUGCCCGAGGCAGAGCUAAUAGCCUCGGGUGCAGACCUGAAAGGACACCUGCCAAAGGUGCAGAUGCCCAGCAUCAAGAUGCCCAAAGUCGACCUGAAGGGGCCCCAGGUGGACAUCAAGGGCCCCCAAAUGGAGGACAAAGUUGCCACAGGUGAGAUUGGAGCCCCUGAGCUGGAAGUGUCACACCCCAGCGUGGAGGUGGACGUCCAGGCUCCUGGUGGCAAGCUGCAGGGCGAGGUGGUGGGCAAAGACAGCAAGUUCAAGAUGCCCAAAUUCAAGAUGCCCUCCUUCAGUGUGUCUGCUCCAGGCAAGUCCACGGAGGCCUCUUUCGAGGUGUCUGUGCCAAAGAUGCAGGCUGACGUGGACCUACCCGCCAUCCAGGGCGACCUGAAGACUCCUGAGGUCGGCGUUCAGCUGCCUUCUGCUGACCUGGACCUGCAUGCCGGCCAGGUGGGCAUGAAGGUUGUACAGGGCUCUCUGCCCGAGGCAGAGCUAAUAGCCUCGGGUGCAGACCUGAAAGGACACCUGCCAAAGGUGCAGAUGCCCAGCAUCAAGAUGCCCAAAGUCGACCUGAAGGGGCCCCAGGUGGACAUCAAGGGCCCCCAAAUGGAGGACAAAGUUGCCACAGGUGAGAUUGGAGCCCCUGAGCUGGAAGUGUCACACCCCAGCGUGGAGGUGGACGUCCAGGCUCCUGGUGGCAAGCUGCAGGGCGAGGUGGUGGGCAAAGACAGCAAGUUCAAGAUGCCCAAAUUCAAGAUGCCCUCCUUCAGUGUGUCUGCUCCAGGCAAGUCCACGGAGGCCUCUUUCGAGGUGUCUGUGCCAAAGAUGCAGGCUGACGUGGACCUACCCGCCAUCCAGGGCGACCUGAAGACUCCUGAGGUCGGCGUUCAGCUGCCUUCUGCUGACCUGGACCUGCAUGCCGGCCAGGUGGGCAUGAAGGUUGUACAGGGCUCUCUGCCCGAGGCAGAGCUAAUAGCCUCGGGUGCAGACCUGAAAGGACACCUGCCAAAGGUGCAGAUGCCCAGCAUCAAGAUGCCCAAAGUCGACCUGAAGGGGCCCCAGGUGGACAUCAAGGGCCCCCAAAUGGAGGACAAAGUUGCCACAGGUGAGAUUGGAGCCCCUGAGCUGGAAGUGUCACACCCCAGCGUGGAGGUGGACGUCCAGGCUCCUGGUGGCAAGCUGCAGGGCGAGGUGGUGGGCAAAGACAGCAAGUUCAAGAUGCCCAAAUUCAAGAUGCCCUCCUUCAGUGUGUCUGCUCCAGGCAAGUCCACGGAGGCCUCUUUCGAGGUGUCUGUGCCAAAGAUGCAGGCUGACGUGGACCUACCCGCCAUCCAGGGCGACCUGAAGACUCCUGAGGUCGGCGUUCAGCUGCCUUCUGCUGACCUGGACCUGCAUGCCGGCCAGGUGGGCAUGAAGGUUGUACAGGGCUCUCUGCCCGAGGCAGAGCUAAUAGCCUCGGGUGCAGACCUGAAAGGACACCUGCCAAAGGUGCAGAUGCCCAGCAUCAAGAUGCCCAAAGUCGACCUGAAGGGGCCCCAGGUGGACAUCAAGGGCCCCCAAAUGGAGGACAAAGUUGCCACAGGUGAGAUUGGAGCCCCUGAGCUGGAAGUGUCACACCCCAGCGUGGAGGUGGACGUCCAGGCUCCUGGUGGCAAGCUGCAGGGCGAGGUGGUGGGCAAAGACAGCAAGUUCAAGAUGCCCAAGUUCAAGAUGCCCUCCUUCGGCGUGUCGGCUCCUGGCAAGUCCAUGGAGGCCUCUCUCGAGGUGUCCAUGCCAAAGUUGGAGGCUGAUGUGGACAAACCCGAGAUGCAGGGUGGUCUCAAGACCUCGAAAGUCAACAUUCAGCUGCCAUCCGCUGACGUGGACCUGCAGGCCGGCCAGGUGGGCGUGAAGCUCGGACAGGGCACGAUGCCCGAGACUGAGCUUCCCGCCACGGGUGCAGGCCUGAAAGGACACCUGCCCGAGGUGCAGAUGCCCAGCAUCAAGAUGCCCAAAGUGGACCUGAAGGGCCCCCAGGUGGACAUCAUGGGCCCCAGAGUGCAGGACAAAGGUGCUACAGUCGAGUUCAGCGCCCCAGAGCUGGAACUGUCACCGCCCAGCGGGGAGGUGGAUGUUCACGCUACUGGUGGCAAGCUAGAGGGCCAGGUGGCGGGCAAAGACAGCAAGUUCAAGAUGCCCAAAUUCAAGAUGCCCUCCUUCAGUGUGUCUGCUCCAGGCAAGUCCACGGAGGCCUCUUUCGAGGUGUCUGUGCCAAAGAUGCAGGCUGACGUGGACCUACCCGCCAUCCAGGGCGACCUGAAGACUCCUGAGGUCGGCGUUCAGCUGCCUUCUGCUGACCUGGACCUGCAUGCCGGCCAGGUGGGCAUGAAGGUUGUACAGGGCUCUCUGCCCGAGGCAGAGCUAAUAGCCUCGGGUGCAGACCUGAAAGGACACCUGCCAAAGGUGCAGAUGCCCAGCAUCAAGAUGCCCAAAGUCGACCUGAAGGGGCCCCAGGUGGACAUCAAGGGCCUCAGAGUGCAGGACAAAGUUGCCACAGGUGAGAUUGGAGCCCCUGAGCUGGAAGUGUCACACCCCAGCGUGGAGGUGGACGUCCAGGCUCCUGGUGGCAAGCUGCAGGGCGAGGUGGUGGGCAAAGACAGCAAGUUCAAGAUGCCCAAAUUCAAGAUGCCCUCCUUCAGUGUGUCUGCUCCAGGCAAGUCCACGGAGGCCUCUUUCGAGGUGUCUGUGCCAAAGAUGCAGGCUGACGUGGACCUACCCGCCAUCCAGGGCGACCUGAAGACUCCUGAGGUCGGCGUUCAGCUGCCUUCUGCUGACCUGGACCUGCAUGCCGGCCAGGUGGGCAUGAAGGUUGUACAGGGCUCUCUGCCCGAGGCAGAGCUAAUAGCCUCGGGUGCAGACCUGAAAGGACACCUGCCAAAGGUGCAGAUGCCCAGCAUCAAGAUGCCCAAAGUCGACCUGAAGGGGCCCCAGGUGGACAUCAAGGGCCCCCAAAUGGAGGACAAAGUUGCCACAGGUGAGAUUGGAGCCCCUGAGCUGGAAGUGUCACACCCCAGCGUGGAGGUGGACGUCCAGGCUCCUGGUGGCAAGCUGCAGGGCGAGGUGGUGGGCAAAGACAGCAAGUUCAAGAUGCCCAAAUUCAAGAUGCCCUCCUUCAGUGUGUCUGCUCCAGGCAAGUCCACGGAGGCCUCUUUCGAGGUGUCUGUGCCAAAGAUGCAGGCUGACGUGGACCUACCCGCCAUCCAGGGCGACCUGAAGACUCCUGAGGUCGGCGUUCAGCUGCCUUCUGCUGACCUGGACCUGCAUGCCGGCCAGGUGGGCAUGAAGGUUGUACAGGGCUCUCUGCCCGAGGCAGAGCUAAUAGCCUCGGGUGCAGACCUGAAAGGACACCUGCCAAAGGUGCAGAUGCCCAGCAUCAAGAUGCCCAAAGUCGACCUGAAGGGGCCCCAGGUGGACAUCAAGGGCCCCCAAAUGGAGGACAAAGUUGCCACAGGUGAGAUUGGAGCCCCUGAGCUGGAAGUGUCACACCCCAGAGUGGAGGUGGACGUCCAGGCUCCUGGUGGCAAGCUGCAGGGCGAGGAGGUGGGCAAAGACAGCAAGUUCAAGAUGCCCAAGUUCAAGAUUCCCUCCUUCGGCGUGUCGGCUCCUGGCAAGUCCAUGGAGGCCUCUCUCGAGGUGUCUGUGCCAAAGGUGGAGUCUGACUUGUAUCUACCCGCCAUCCAGGAUGAGCUGAAGACUCCUGAGGUCGGUGUUCAUCUGACCUCCGCUGAUGUGGGCCUGGUGGGCUUCAAGUUGGCUAAGGGCUUGCUGCCUGAUGCAGAGCUGCUCGCCACAUGUGCAAGGCCGAAAGCACACCAGACCAAGUUGCUGAUGCCCAGCAUCAAGAUGCCCAAAGUGGAAUUGAAGGGCUCCCAUGUGGACAUCAAAAGUCCCAGAGUGGAGGUGCAAGGUGCCGAGGGUGAGUUCGGUGCCCCUGAGCUGGAAGUGUCGCUGCCCACCAUGAAGCUGGACGUCCUGACUGCCGGCGCCCAGCUGGAGGCAGAGGUGGAAACCAAGGACAGCAAGCUGCACAUUUCUCCUCUCAAUCUUCCGUCUCUUAGUCUUCAUACGAGUCAUGCUGUUUUAUCAUCUAGAAAUUUCAUGGAAAAUCUGAAGUUUCCUGGCAUGAGUUAUACACUGGCACCUGGAGACCCAGGAAUGGCUCCUGACGAGUGUGCUUCUGGUGAUCUCACUGAAUCUGGUGUGAGUUAUCCCUUUGGUAAAGAUGGAAAAGCGUGUAAGUCCAAGCAGCCUCCUGUCGAGAAGCGUCAAGUGCAAUUGUGUCAUCGGAAAGCACUGGAGGGCGUUCCUGGCCCUGGAGAGGCCCCUUCGUCCUCCCACCUGUCUGGCCUCAGUCUUGCCACGUCACCGGAAGCAGCUCUGCCAGGCCUGGACACAGCCCUGCAGGUGCCCAGGCUCGCCCUCUCGGGGCUCCCGUCCCUCAGCACGGGCACCGCUGACCUCACUCGUGUUGGGGCAGGGCCUUCUGUCCUCCCUCCCAGUGACGGUGUGAUGGUUACCCAGUUCCAGGUUCCUAUGCUCAGCCCUGUCUUCACCCCUGGAGCCCCCCAGGAUGCCACUUCUGGGUCCCCAGCCAGUGCUCUUUUUGCAGGAGUGCAGUGCUCUGUGGGCCACCAGGCUGAGCAGGGUCCUCUGCCCAUUCCCCCUGGCCGAGGCUUUCAUCCCAAGAGUCCUCUGUCUCCCAGGGUUCAGAGUCGUGUGACUUUCCCUAUGUUCCAUAAACCACGCUUCGUGCUUUCUGUUCCACUGGAAGUGGCUCCUGAGGCAGACUCUGGGUCCGCAGACUGGAGCUUUGUCCCACUUCUCAGCCAGGAGCCCAGGCAGGACUGUAUCCAUGCAGCGAAGGUAGCCCAGCUGCCAGUCUCCCAGCCACCAUCCACGGCUGUCCCUGCGUCUCAGGUGGUGCCAGAACUCCUGGGCCCAGCUGCAGGACGAGCUGCUGCCGGGGUUGCUGAGCAGGAGGGGAAGGGGAGUCCCUCCAAAACACCUCGCUUCAAGCUGCCGGUGUUCAGCUGGUCGCCAAAGAAGGAGGCCAGGCCCAGAGAGGACAGCACGUGCCACCUGGAAGACCCCACAGGGAGCCUGGCCAUGGGUCUGGAUCAUGAGGACCCCCACCCUGGGGCUCAGGACUCCCGAGUGCAGUCACACAUGGCCCUGACUCCAGAGAGGGAAGGCGACUCGGGGAGGACCAGGAAGGCUGGCUUUGUCCUACCGAGACUGGCCCUUCCCAAGCUAAAGGCGUCCAAGGGCCCAGCAGGCCUGAGGCCACCAGGAGACGCAGACGCUGUGCUUUGUAGCAGUACAGCUGCAGGUGACUGUGGAGCCACAGAGAGGGGUGGCAGCGAGGGUGGUGUAGGCAGCACAGGCCUUCCUGGAGGACCCCAUGAAGAAGGGGAUGUGACCCUCCAGCUGCCACAGACCUCCAGCCCCUGGGUGGGAUCUGCCAAACUGGAUCUUGGGUCUUUCCCGGCCGAGGAGGGGGCAAGCCAGUGUGAUGCUGAUCCCAGGUGUGACUCGGCAGUGGGAGGAGGCAGCGAAGGAUUUGGGCUCCGGGACAUCUCAGCCAGGCAGCCCCAGGGGGAAGGGACAGCCCCCAACAUAGAAGGCCCCCUGAAGGCACCCCUAGGACAUGCAGACAGAGUUCCCUCCCUGGGUAGCCCCGAGGAGGCCCCCACUGCUGGGGGGCCCAUAGCUGGUUCACAGGAGCGCUGGUUCAGAAUGCCCAGGCUCCAUAUGCCUGGCUUCAGGCGGCUGUCAUCCAAGGAGCGAGGCGGGGCCCGGGGACAGGAUGUGGCUCAGGUGCACAUGCCAGUGGCCACUGCACCCGCAGAGGCAGCAGCAGUCGCCAGUGUCCUGGUGUCCUGGGUUCCUGGGUCAGAGGUGGAGGCCAGUGUGUCCCUGAAGCCUCCAGAUGUAGAGGCAGCGGUGACAGCUUCUGGGAGCGCAUCCCGUGCAGAUGUUCUAAAGCGUGAUCUGGACUGCUCAGGCUUGAAGCGGCAUCCCCCCUCCCUGAGGAGGUCUGGAGGGGACCAGCCCGGCUCCAAGGUCCAGGUCCAUCCAGCUGAAGGCUCCUUCCCCCCUCAGAAGCCCAGUGGGGAGCCCUCAGAAGCCCAGGCUCCUGCAGCAGAGCGGCCCGACCUCAUGGAGGCAGAAGAGGGAGCAGAGCUGCGGCCCUCUGGGUCAGAAGGACCUGUGCCACUGAGGGUGUCCAGCACUGACAUGCCAUCCCAGGUCUCCGUGCUGGAUACGCGGCGGCUGUGGGAAGACUCUGUGCUCACUGUCACAUUCCCCAAGCUCAGAGUGCCCAUGUUCUCUUUCCCCGCCCCGGGGGCAGAGAUGGACAUCUUCUUCCCUGUGGUGAGGGACGUGAGUGAAGCAGAGGCAGGUGUGGACCCAGGGCCGGGGCUCUGGGGUGCCAGCCUCCUGAGGGCAGGUGCCGAGGAGCCCAGGGAGCAGCCUAUGGGCCCCAGCCGCCCCUUGGAAGGUUCCCCAGUGUCCAAAGUGAAGGUGCACAUCCAGGGAGUGCAGGCUGAGAGUCGUGAGGUCCUGGUCUGCAGCCAGGUGAGGCCAGAGCGAGUGGAGCACAUGGCCCCCGAGGCCUUCUCCACACAGACUGUGUGGGCGUCAGAGAUCCCCGCAUCCACCGUGCAGACACCUUCAUACGGAUUUUCUCUGCUGAAGCUGAAGACCCUAGGGCCUCCUGCUCAGGCUCCAGACUCCAGGGCACCGGAGGGCUCUGCCGCACCCACAGCAGACUCCCUCCCUGAAGACGGCGCCCCUGAUGCCACAGAGCCAUUUGAGGUGAUAGCGGGCAGCACCAGCCUCCCUGGGCUGCAGACGCUUGGGUCUGACGACCCUGCCAGGCCUCCACUUGCAGGCAGCGGCUCUGAUGAUGAUGAUGAGCCUGCAGAAAUCCUAGAAUUUCUCCCUGAGGACAGCAGUGGGGCUUCAGCACAGCUGGCGGCCGAAGACCAAGUUCCAAAAGGAAGGCCAGAAGGAAAAAAGCCUUCGGGUCUGUUGUGGUCCUGGCUUCCGAACAUCGGGUUCUCCUCCAUCAGUGAGACCAAUGCCGGCUCCAGAGAUGAUGCCCAAAGAUCUGUUCCUGUCCUGACCCAGCCGGGGCCUUGGCCAGACUUGGAACCACCCAAGAGGCAAGAGAGGGUGGGCUGGUUCCGGUUUCCCAAAUUAGGCUUCUCCUCCUCGCCUGCUGAGAAGACCAAAAGCACAGAGGAAGAGACAGCCCUGGCCGAGCAGAAGCUCUGGGAAGAAAGUGUGACCUUCUUCGAUGCCCGGGAAAGCUUCUCCCCUGAGGAGGAGGAGAGGGGCAGCAAACCAGCCGAGAUGGCCCCGGGCACCCCAGACAUGGUGGCGUCCUCGGCGAGAACAGAGCUGAUCCUGCUGGAGCCUGAUGCCCCCGCUGGCGAGGAAUCUGGACCCAGGCCCGCGGGCAAAUGAAGGCCAGACAGGUGCAACGUCAGGGCAGAGGCCAGAGCAGCAUGGAGACCCCAUCCCGGCCCCACAUGGCACCCCUGAUUCACAAAGGUGGACGAAGCAGAACUUGGAGAGAACCUCCACACCUCACACUGCCCAGCUCCCGCCAGGCUGUGGAGGCAGAGAAGACACCAGACUCCUUGAAGAGCAGAUCCAGUCGUCCACAUGUUGAGGGCAUCCUGCUAUUCCUCCAGGGUGCUCAUCAUUGAACCCAGAACCCAGCUGUGUACACCCUCCAGCCAGGCCUGGCUGGCGCUGGCCCAGUGCCCCCUGGUGGCAAUAAAGGAAGCAGUGCAUCCCAGUGGAAAGGCUGCUGUGCUCUUUGUUCUGGGGCCCAAACUCCCUGUGCUCGCUUCCCCCACACUCCUGGUCCUGGGUGCUGU
rnacentral:lncRNA from 1 species